AGGAAGAGAAUUUUAUGCAAUUCUUAAGUUGUAUUACCUAUUAUUAAUAUUAUUUUUUUUUUAAAUUUAAAUUUUCAAUUUUCGAUCAAUCACUUUCUAAUACACAGAAUUUAAACAUAUAAAUUUCAAACAAAUGACACCUUGUCGAGUAUCUGUAUCCUAGAUUUGAAGCAGUUCGGGGAAUACGUGAGUUUUAAUACUACAUGUGUCUUAUUUUUCUUUUCAUAAACAAGAAUUGGACCAAAGUGCUAUUGCUCAAAUCAUUAAUAUCGGAGACGAUUUCAAGUACAACAAUUUUGUUUCGUUAUUGGUGUAUUGGGAAAGGCUAUUUUACGAUAUUCUUUGCGAUUUAGUUACUU